rnacentral:sRNA from 1 species
GAGGGUGGUUACCGCUGAGGAGCUGCAGUCGCUGUCAAGGUACAGCCCAAGCACCUUGGGUGUGUUGGACUGAGCUGCUUCUAUUUGGCUGUAAAAUCAAUAGAAGAGGAAAGGAAUGUCCCAUUGGCAACUGACUUGAUCCGAAUAAGUCAAUAUAGGUUUACGGUUUCAGACUUGAUGAGAAUGGAAAAGAUUGUAUUGGAGAAGGUGUGUUGGAAAGUCAAAGCUACUACUGCCUUUCAAUUUCUGCAGCUGUAUUAUUCACUCCUUCAAGAGAACUUGCCGCUUGAAAGGAGAAAUAACAUUAAUUUUGAAAGACUAGAAGCUCAACUUAAGGCAUGUCAUUGCAGGAUCAUAUUUUCUAAAGCAAAGGUAAAUAUUUUAUAAAGAUUACACCUAUUUAUAUGAUGUUUUUAUAUUUGGCAUUUACUUUAAAUUUAUCUCUUUUAGCCUUCUGUGUUGGCAUUGUCUAUCAUUGCAUUAGAGAUCCAAGCACAGAAGUGUGUAGAGUUAACAGAAGGAAUAGAAUGUCUUCAGAAACUUUCCAAGAUAAAUGGCAGAGAUUUGACCUUCUGGCAAGAGCUUGUAUCCAAGUGUUUAACUGAAUAUUCAUCAAAUAAGUGUUCCAAACCAAAUGUUCAGAAGUUGAAAUGGAUUGUUUCUGGGCGUACUGCACGGCAAUUGAAGCAUAGCUACUACAGAAUAACUCACCUUCCAACAAUUCCUGAAAUGGUCCCUUAACUGGAUUAUUACAGCACCAAAAAACUUCUCUGAAGCCUUUCUCUACAACCUUGUUCUAUGGAUUCCAUAAUGUUACAAUGGAUUUAAACUAUGAAGCCUCAAAACAUCAUGAGAUAAGCAUGAUGGUCUCAGACUUGGGAAAACUGCCUAAUAUUAUGCUGUAGUGGAAUUAUGUUUAGAUUUGAAUUCAUCUGUGAAGCAUUCAAAUCAAAGCUAAAAGCCUAAAUGUGAAAUGCUAAUGACAAGCCUGAGAAGGUAAACUGUGAAUCUUCAUUUCUUUCAUUGAUCUAACUUUAGAUAUUGGAUCAAUAUAUUUAGGUGGUAUUAAAAAUGCUAUUGGAGGAGUCACACUAAUACUAUCAACUAUCAGUCUUCCCACAGCUUCAAUCACUCAUUAUUCUAAUCC